ensembl:lncRNA
CGCACCGCAAGCAAGACUCUUAGAAUCUAUGCUCCACUGUCCAAACCAACCAUUCUCAUCUCCAACAAUACUGCAGUGGAGACCAAGGACUUCUCAAUGACAUGCCAGGCUACGGGUCAAAUUGAAGCUUACCAGUGGUUCAUAAAUGGACUUGCCCCAG